UCCGUAGGUGGCGAGCGUUGUCCGGAUUUACUGGGCGUAAAGAGCGCGCAGGCGGCUGGUCAAGUCCGAUGUGAAAGCUCCCGGCUUAACUGGGAAAUUGCAUCGGAAACUGAUCGGCUGGAAGGUGGGAGAGGGUAGCGGAAUUCCCGGUGUAGUGGUGAAAUGCGUAGAUAUCGGGAGGAACACCAGUGGCGAAAGCGGCUACCUGGCCCAUUCUUGACGCUGAGGCGCGAAAGCUAGGGGAGCAAACGGG
rnacentral:rRNA from 1 species